rnacentral:rRNA from 1 species
AUUGAACGCUGGCGGCAGGCUUAACACAUGCCAGUCGAACGAGUGGCGGCCGGGUGAGUCAUGCUUGGGAAUCUCGCUUAUUGAUGGGGAUAACUACGGGAAACUGUAGCUAAUACCGCGUACCAUCAGAUGAGCCCAAGUGGGAUUAGGUAGUUGGUGGGGUAAAGGCUCACCAAGCCGACGCUCUCUCGCUGGUCUGAGAGGAUGACCAGCCCCACGGGGACUGAGCAACGGCCCAGACUCCUACGGGAGGCAGCAGGGGGGAAUAUUGCGCAAUGGGGGCAACCUGACGCAGCCAUGCCGCGUGAAUGAAGAAGGCCUUCGGGUUGUAAAGUUCUUUCGGUAGCGAGGCGUUAACUACAGAAGAAGCACCGGCUAACUCCGUGCCAGCAGCCGCGGUAAUAC